rnacentral:rRNA from 1 species
UACGAAAGGGGUAAACGUUAUUCACCAUAAAUGGGUCUAAAGAGUAUGAAUGUGGCCUUACAAAAUUGAACAGUGCCAAGCUAAAAUGGGAAGAAAACUAUUCAAUGGCUGUGAAGCUAGAGUGUAAUAGAGGAAAGAGGAAUACCGAGAGUAGGGAUGAAAUCUGUUGAUCUUCGGAGGACCACCAAAAGCGAAGGCUUCUUUCUAAUUAAUCACUGACACGGAGAUACGAAAGUAUGGGGAGCAAAACGG